AUUGAACGCUGGCGGCAGGCUUAACACAUGCAAGUCGAGCGGAGAGAGGUAGCUUGCUACUGAUCUUAGCGGCGGACGGGUGAGUAAUGCUUAGGAAUCUGCCUAUUAGUGGGGGACAACAUUUCGAAAGGAAUGCUAAUACCGCAUACGUCCUACGGGAGAAAGCAGGGGAUCUUCGGACCUUGCGCUAAUAGAUGAGCCUAAGUCGGAUUAGCUAGUUGGUGGGGUAAAGGCCUACCAAGGCGACGAUCUGUAGCGGGUCUGAGAGGAUGAUCCGCGACACUGGGACGGAGACACGGCCCAGACUCCUACGGGAGGCAGCAGUGGGGAAUAUUGGACAAUGGGCGCAAGCCUGAUCCAGCCAUGCCGCGUGUGUGAAGAAGGCCUUAUGGUUGUAAAGCACUUUAAGCGAGGAGGAGGCUACUUUAGUUAAUACCUAGAGAUAGUGGACGUUACUCGCAGAAUAAGCACCGGCUAACUCUGUGCCAGCCGCCGCAGUAA
rnacentral:rRNA from 1 species